GUCGGCGGGCGUAGGGGCUGUUGUUCGCUGCUCCAGUUGUGCCAUCCCUGAACGCACCGCAGAGGAUUGUGUCCAGAAGGUUCUGGAAUAUCCCCAGCGAGGGAGACUUGCCAUGCUUUCCGGACUCGGUCACUGCUCAGGACAGAAGUUCUGCUUCCUGCCCAGGUGGAGCCUGCUGGGAUCAGUCCCUGCCUGUUCCUCUGAUGCCAUUGCUGGGCCCCUGGAGCAGAGCCUGGGCCCUGCUCAGAGCCCUCCCUGCAGACAGGGACACCCAGGGCUGAGGGCCCCUCUCAGCUGGGGCUCCUCUGGAGGCUGGACAGCCCCAGCUCCCUCAGCCUUUCCCUGCCAGAGAUGCUCCAGGCCCUAAAUCAUCUCUGCAUCCUCCACUGGCCCUGCUCCAGGAGCUCCAUGUCCCUGCUGUCCUGAGGAGCCCAGAACUGGACACAGCACUCCAGAUACGUCACACAGGGCUGGGCAGAGGGGCAGGAUGAUCUCCCUCUACCUGCAAUCCAUGCUCCUCCCAGUGCAUCCCACGAUCCUGUCCCUCCAGCCCAGCAUAAACCUUGGCGCUCAGCAAGCUCUGCUAGUGGGGACUCACUGAAGGCUCAUGGUUGUGACAGGUCUCACAGUCAGGCGUUAGGCUGGCCUCAGCGCUAUGCAGAAAGCAGAUCUGUGAGCUCACAUUGGAGGAGUGACAAAGGACAAUCAUCUGCUCCCAUCAUGACAUGGAGCAUGUGGAAGGGAGGGAAAUUUUGUCUUGAUGUCAUCACUUGAGGAGAGUUGCUGAUGAGGAGGACUUAACUGACAUAUUUGAUUUAUUUUACCUUGUUAGUCUUUAUGUAGAAAUAAGGAACGUAGAGUUCCAUGCGCUAAAGCAGAUUUCAUGCCCAGAGACCUCACAAUUUCAGGAUCUACAGGCAGACCCAGAGAAUCCAUCAUGGACCUUCCAGAGCACUCUGAACCUACCUGCUUGCACAUGGGACAGCCUGUUGAGUGAAAUUCAUCUCCUUUGCCUUGUCCUGAACCUGGUUGUGAGAGCAUCUUGGUGUGGAUCCUGAAUUUGUUACCAGCACAGGGCCUCAUAUUGAAGUCCCAGUGAACACAGCUUCUGGAAGAGCCUAGGGAGAGGAUGUUCUUGCUUGGAGGGGCUGGCUGGCAUCACAGCAUGGUGUAGCUGACACAGAAGAACCAAAGACAGCCAAACAGGCACAGGAGGCACAGAGACUGACCAACCUGACUGGAAUUGGAGCUUUCAUGUCUUGGGAUGUAACUCAGAACACCACACUAAACUCACAGGGCACAGUCUGGCUUUGGUGCCACACAAUGAGGCUGAAGUGACAAGCUCUCCCUCUUGGUAUCUCAUGGAUUGAUGGUCAGUUGCAGGACAGUCAAAACCUGUGGUUUUAGCCUGCAGUUCAAUGUAUGGAGCCAGGAUAGGAGGUAAGAGGAUGGAUUACAAGGAAAUUAUAUAACUCAGUGGGGCUGUGAAGAAGCACUUCUGGAGCCAUGAAAGGUUUGUGCAGAAAGGACUGGUGUAAGCUUAGACCAUAAAUUUUGUGGUCAUGCUUCAUUGCUAACAUGAAUGAUCCAGCUGUACCUCAGAGGAGUUGCAUUUUGGAAAGGAGGAGGUUUUGGUGAGGGAAGAGAUCUGUGCAAUGGUCAGAGAUAACCUGAGAAAACCACAGGUCCAAGGAUCAAGGAGUCUCAAGAGCAGGGCUGCUGUUUCUGUGGUGGAAGAUGUAAGUGAUCACUGGAAAGAACUUGGAAGGUUUUUCUAACCUUAAGUUAAGCUAAUCCAAGGUUAGGGAAGCACUGCAAAUCCUUUAGGGAUCAAAAAUCUUAAAUCAGCUCUCCCCUCCUGAACUUUCACAAAAUUCACAGAACCAUGAGUCUGGAAAAAAAUGAGAUGAUGGUGAUGAAAUCCCAGGUUUUAGGCAAGUGCUUUAGUUAUUUAACCUUUUCUGCCCUGUUCCCCCACUUCUCUCAAUUUCAAUGGAAUAAUUGAAAGCCUGAAAAACUCCGUCCUAAGUACUCACGUAAAUAUGCAACCCCUGCUCUGCUGCAUUCUUGAUUUACACUUGCAGUCCUUUCACUCUCUGUCUUCCAGCUCCAUUGGCCAGAGCCUUUCCUGUUUCUUAAGUCCACUUAGCAAUACCUGACUGCUCCUACUACAUUUCCCCAACCACUGACAGCCUGGCAGAGGUUCUCCUCUGUUUCCAGGGUGUGUGAAGCAUGUUCUUGUUAUGCCUUUGAUCACUGGUUCUUCUUACUGGACAGGAUAUGGGGUGUUCUCCAUGUUGUUUGUUAACGGCAGAAGUCUGUUCUGGAUUUUUAAUGCUAAUCUGAUCUUCAGUGACAAAGUAGCAGAAAAGACAUUUCUCCAACCCAGACAGCACCAGUAAACUUUGGUUCUGCUACACAAAGAGAGAAAGAAAACUCUUUGCAGAACUACAGCUGUCAGCCCUUGAUGUCUGAGUAUUUUUCACACAUCAAUGGAAUGCAGGAAAAGUCUUCAGGGUUAAAAAAAUGGUAGUUCUCAGUUUGGCAAAGAUCGGUUCUGAUUUUGAUUUGGCUUUGCAAAUUGGCUUAGCUACUUUUACCACUUAAUAUGAAGCAGGAGAUUCUAGGCAAAACAUUUCAAAACCAAAGUGUAAUUCUCAUGUGAAAUGGGGGUUUAAGAGCCAGUUUUUCUAUGUGUCACACAGUCACUAUGAAUAUACAGAAAAUUAACUAAUUUUUUAGGAGAAUAUUAAUUGUUUUGCUGGUGAAGUUUUAAUAAGCUAUCAAGAAUCAGUUCUCAGUUGACCAAAAUAUUAUGGGAUCCCUGUCCAUUUAUCUGUCAUAGUUACAACCACAUCCAUGCAGAGUCUGUAACUGAAUCUGGCACAUGAAGAUGUGAGUGUACUGGCCUAAGCAGCAAAAUCUCUGGCAUUCUGAAGCUUUAAUGUCAAUAAAGAGUAUGUACCCUCUCCCAUUCAUCCCAAAAGUGAACCUCUGAAGAUUUCCAGAUGAAGCACUAACCACUCUGACAGCUUCCCAACAGCUUUGGCAUUCCAGCAAGAAUUUUCAAAUGUUACUAAGGAGACAGACUGGUCAACCAUUGCAUCUUUAGGUCAAGUCAGUGCAAAAUUGAGACAAUCACCCUGUGAAGACCAACCUGCUAAAUGGGGUGACGUUUUGGAGGCUAACCUGUGUUGCAGGCAGAGUUUGCAGUGAUACCAACAGCUGCCCAACUUAGCCUAGAGAUUUGUUCAGUUUUAUGCCAUUUUUCACAGUAAGAAAAAACAACUACGUAAA